AUUGAUUUUUUUUGAUAGUGAAAAUAUACUUUAUUUUUUAAUACAAUAGCUGCCAGCAAUAUACUGGUGUUGAUGUUCCAAAAAGAAAAGAAAAUACAUGCAUUCUAUAAUAAGCUUUCAUUUGCCUGUUCAAGAAAUUAUAAAGAAAAUACUCCAAUUCUGUUCAACAUUAUGGCUUGAGGAGUUGAAAUUUUUCCAUGAUAAAAAUAUACUUUGUAUGGCCCAAACCUUGACUAUUUAUAAAGGAUGGAGCUUUUAAAAGACCACGUAUAUCAAUAAUGAAUGCUCCCCUCUCUUUGAAUUAAAUGCUUAAAUUCAAAUUAAUGCAAGAAAUUGGUGAAUCAUUAAAUGAUGAAAUUUGUAUCAAAAUGUUCGUGAAAAAAUACAUUUCUAUUUCCUCUACAUUUUUACUUUGUAGUUAUUUUCUAAAUGGGUUUAAGUGCACAGAAAUAAAUGCUAUCUACAUGCAACUCUGGAGAGAUUCAAAACACAACAGAAGUAAAGUUAACAUGCCUAAAUCCUAGAGUUGAUCCACUUAGUGUAAGAAUAAAUGUCAGAAAUCUCUUAAUUGUAUACAGAUUGCUCAAGGAUUUAAAGAUAAAUUGUGAAAGCCAAAAUUACCAAGAAAUAAAAUCUUAUUUGAAUUUUAUCACAAAAGUCCUAGUAAAAGACAACAGAACUGUAUAGAAUAUCUGCAUUUACAUCAAAAAAGGGAAGUUUGAGGAGGGCCUCUGCCCGGGAUCUCAAUUGAUUUAAUUCAAAUUUGCUCAUUGUUUUUUCUGCUUGUUCAAGUAGGCUCUUGAAUCCCCUUGCUGCAUUUUUCAGAGAGAAAGGAAAAAGGAUGAGGAAAAAUGAGGAAGGUCUGAAACCUGUGUAACCCCAAG
rnacentral:lncRNA from 1 species